rnacentral:rRNA from 1 species
UACGUAGGUGGCAAGCGUUGUCCGGAUUUACUGGGCGUAAAGAGCGCGUAGGCGGUCUGUUAAGUGAGAAGUGAAAUCUCCAGGGCUCAACCCGGAAACUGCUUUUCAUACUGGCAGACUUGAGGGAUGCAGAGGUGAAUGGAAUUCCUGGUGUAGCGGUGAAAUGCGUUGAUAUCAGGAGGAACACCCAUGGCGAAGGCAGUUCACUGGGCAUCAUCUGACGCUGAGGCGCGAAAGCGUGGGUAGCAAACAGG